GGUCAAGCCACACUGAGUAUUAGGGGAGAAGAAGGCUGUCCAAUUGGGGCAGGGGGCCUGGCCCUGGGGGAGCAGGCUGUGCCCUGGUGGGAGGGGAAAGGGUGGCCCUCCUGUGCCCUGGGUCUAAGGCUAGAAGGGCCCAUUGUCUCUAGCCUGACCUGCUGCAUGACACCAGUCAUAGGACUUCCCUGUGUGAAUUAAUUCCUGCUUCCAGUCCAAUAGCUGUGGCUCAACUAUAGCAGACCUUCUGGAAAACCGUCCAGUCUGGAUUUAAAAAUGUCCAGCGAUGGAGAAUUCACCACAGCCCUCGGAUCACGUCAUCCCUUUUGGUCACAGCGUUGCGCUGGAAGCACACGUUCAACUGAUUAUCCGUCACGAUGACCCCUCAAGUCUUUUUCACAGUCACUGCUUCCCAGAGCUGGGUCCCCCAUCCUGUGGCUACAUUGGCAGCACUACCAAUUUCUGGAACUCCUGAUCUCAAGCAGCGCUAAGUUGAAGUGCUGCUGUCUCCUGGAAAAGUGUAUGAAACUUUCCUUUUUUAAGGGAUUAUUUUAUUUCGCCAGUGUGUCAAUGUGUCAGCCCAGAGUGGGUGUAUGUUUUCUAUCAGCAGGUGGGAAAAGGACAAUGCAAAACUCUUUGUGACUUUAUUUCACCUGUGAAGGUUGCUGAGGAUGGAACAGGUGAUAAUGGAGGGACCAGUGACCAUGAAGACAAAUAUCACUUCUGCCGGGUAGCUGGGUGGAUUUUUGAAAUAGGCAGUCUGCUAGUACAGCACAGCUAUCCUGCCCUCUAAUGACAAUAUCUCUCUGUGAGGAGGGGAAUUCUUGUGUCCGCUCUCUGGCCUCUCAGUUCCUGACUUUUACCCAGGAUGCUGUGACUAGUUCAGUCCCUUGGAUGCUUUUAUUCAGUUUUUGAGCUCUUAAUUAAAAGGUGGGCCCAAUGAACACAUUCCCAAACUAGAUCCCAGCAUUGUGCAUGAAAAACUGGAUCUUUGCUUCUUGAGAGUUCAUCCUUAUUCCUGCUCCUUAUUCCUUGUCUGAAGUGAUGACCCUUUGCUGGCUGUGACAUCAGAAUUGAUGGCUGGAGAAAUGAUUGAUUUCACAGGCUAAGGAUUAUGACCUGAAAUGGUGGGAGAGGAAAAGUGGCUGAGCAGAUGCCUGAAGGAGGCAGGGAGGAUGGAUGGCUUUGCCAAUAAAGGUAGAAGGAGCAAACUUGUGAAUAUAUAGCUCUCUUUGCAUAAGCAAAAUUUCCAGUCUUCAACAGGAGCUUUGCCUGAGUAAGUGCAGAGAAGCUGAAAGUUUUGCAGCUGAAAUGUUUUUCAGGUUUGCCAUAUCAAUUGGUUGUUUGGUUUUGCUUGGGUUUUUUUUCAAUGCAGCAAUUCUUGGUUCCCAGGAUGUAGAGGGGAGGUGGGUUGUUUUGUUUGCAUUACCCCCACAUAGACCAGUAAAAUUGUGCCCAUCCUGGACACCCAGCUUUUUGUUGCCUCUUAUAUGGUAGCUAGCUCUUGGCCUUGCAUUUCAAUUCCUUAUAGCCUGAUCCAAGUAUUGUUUUCAUGUUCCAUUUCUUUGCAGGCCUCCUUCAAAGUUAUAGUCCUCUGACUGGUGACUUUUUGCACCUGACUCAACAUUUUACAGUAUUUCACUUUUGUACAUUGUGUAGAGGUCUCAGCCUUUGGGUUUCAUGCAUUGUUAUUACUUGUAAAGGUCUUGUUUGUUAAUCUGAGUGCAGAAGCUGGGUGUGGUCGCAGUGCAGACCUUUUUUGGCCACAUCCGCUUCCCUCUCAAGGCUCAAUGAAUUCUGGACAGGGAUUUCAUUACCCAGCUGCACAAUCUGCCAACACAACCUUGUCAUUGCAAUUUGUCACACAUAUUUUAUAUGUAUUCUGUAUUUCACUGAAGUCGCAUUCCCCAGGCAAUUCAUAUACAGGCUACUUGUUUGGUACGUAGAUCAACUUCCGAUGUGACCUUGACCAACACUGUGUUCUCACCUACAGUUGUGCCACAUGUUGGUGGAGGUUGGCUGCCUGUCUUUACCCUAGAAGUGGUUGCAUUUCAGUGUCCCUACCCUGAGAUGUGCUUUGAGUUCUACAUGUAAAAUAGAAACGGGCUUGAGCCAAGAAUAGAGACCUAACUAGAGCUGGUCAGAUUUUUUGCUGUAAAAGGUCUGUUUGUUUUAAUGGAAGAUAGCUAUUUUACUGAAAAAAAAUCCAGGUGAAAUGUCCAUUUUUUAAUUAAUCGGGGGUAAAUAAUUAAUUUUUUUGGCCAUACGCACAAAAAAACCGUGGUCGAUUUGGGGGGGGCGACCCACAAAUUUGGUUUUACUGAAAUUUUCUGCCUGACUGGCUGAAACUUGUGGUUGCGUAAAACUGAAUUUUUGGAGGAGUUUUGAUUUAAAAAAACACACACAAGUAAUUCAUAGAAACUGUUUUCAUUUUCUUCAAACAUUUUCAGAGGGUGGAGGGAAAGAGAGGGAAACCCCCAUUUCCUAACUAGUGUUAGACUCAGCCCCUUUAGAAGUUUGCAUACAAUCCUGGGCCUCUCUGGAGUCCCUGAUCUGAACAACUUUUGAAAUCUGUGUGAGUUUGGAUCUGCCAGUGUACAUGUUAACAUCAUGUUCAUCCCAUUAGUAUCUGUCUGCCUGGCUCCAGCUAUCAAGUUUUCACUUUAGGUUCAUCUCUCAUAUAAUACUGACAUAGGGAAACAUUUAGUAAAAUUGAGAGUUCACCAUGAAAAUUACCCUCGUUUAGUACCCAGAGGCUUAGUAGAUUCCAGAUCAUCAACCAAGGCAGAGUCAGGGAUCAUGCUUUCACCUGCUGUGCUCAGUUCUAAUGUGGUGGGUACUUCCCCAUGGAAGCCUUUCUUUGUAUUGAGGAGCAGUCUGAGAGAAGGAAACUAUUGUACCAUUCGUAUGGACUGCAUCACUGUCUCCUUUUACCCAUCCGUGGAGUAAAAGGACCAAGUUUUCUAAGAGGUAACAGGAGCUAAGAUUUAGUGAGCAUUCAGGGGGCAGGCGUUGAAUGUGAUGGCACCUGUGCAUGUCUCAUUUGCUUCCCAGUGAGGCCAGAUAAAAGGUGAGGAAUCUGCCACUGGCUCAUGCUCCCACUGAAACUGGUGGCAAAACAUGCCCAUUGGCUUUAAGGCCCAGUUCCCAACGUACUAGAGCAUUCAAUCGGCACAGAGGCAGUGACAGGCCCUCUUUCGUGCGUGAAGGGGGGCAGAGCAGGGAAGUCAGCAAAGGAGUGGGACAGAAGAAGAGAGCAAAGCCAGGGAAGGAAGGGGGAAAGAACGUGCAGAGGAGGAAACGGGGAAAGGGAACUGGCACUGCGGAGGGAGUGGGGUUGGAAAGGAAAGGAAAUGGGUGGGGAGAUGAGGCAGAUGAAGAACUGCAAAGAAGAAGGGGGAGCUGCAAGAAAGGGGAGAGAGGGAGAAGGCAGGGACCAAACUCAACACAAAGAAGAAAUGUAAGAAUUUAAUAGAGAACAGAUCCUGCAAAAAUGCAGAGCAGAGAGCAAGAUGGCCAUGGGCUAGGAUGACUAUGGGGAUGCUGACGGGGCCGAGAGGAAGGGGGGGCGGGGCGCACGGUUAUGGGCAGGUGGAGAUCUGUCACAAGUGGAGGGACUUUAACCUCCAAAUAGCUGGGAAUCACAUCCUGUGAGCUUAAACUGAGUCUGUGGAGGAGAGUGUUGCAGCAUCUAGUGGGAGGGAGGAGAAAGGAGGAAGUGCUACUGAGUGAGCUGAGAUAUGAAAGUACCUCUGAGGUUUAGAGCCAGUUUGAGACAGGGGACAGUGGCAGGAUACAAAAAACAGAGCGGAGGGGGAGGGGAAGAAGGCUCACGCUUCAAGGUCACAGAGAAAAGGGCUAGAGCAUUUUAUACUUUGUUUUCUUUGCAGCACAAAGCAGAAGUCAGCCUGCAGUUCUCCUCAGGGUAAACAGCAGCACAAUCUCCCUGAGCAUGGAAAUCUGUUCUGGCUUUUGUCCUAAUGCAAACAGUCCUCACCUAAUACUUGAGUUCAUUUGUUUUUGUCUCAGGUAAAUACAGAAUGUCCAGUUAUUCAGUGCUUCCAAAGGAGAAGAUAGUUCAUGGAAUAACAAGGCAUAAGUCAGUACUUUGGUGAGGUGAGCACAAGAGUGCAGUGUGGCUGGAGGUCAGUUUUACUUUGUUGGAAUAAAUCAGCUGCUGCUACUGAAAGCAAAUAGGGAACUGAUUAAGAGCCAAAUUUUGCUGUUCUAAUUUGGUCAAUGCUCCCUCCCCCCCCAGCUGAUUGGUCGCGUAGUGGUACCCAACACUUUUGAGUUGGAUUUCCCUUCCCGCUCUCCCAAUUUCUGACAAAUAUACAGGAUCUGGCCAAAUUCCAGAAGCUAUUUUUAAAAAUAAUCUCUCAAUAGAUAGCAUGUGAUGUGUGGGGGCUGGGGGGGAGCAAUUCAAACUGAACAACUUUCACCGUUUUGCUGGAUGUUUGUUCUUUUGACCGAACAAAUCCACAACAAGCAAGUCAAACAUUCCACUCUGUAAGGAGUCUGAGCAUCAGGGAAACAGAAUUACUCAUGAAUAUGAUUUUUGCCCAGCAGUUAAUGUGGAGGGGAACAAGCUGCGUGUGUGUGAACUGAAAUGUUCUAUUUCUGCGUGAACUGGAUUCCUUUUACAAACCUAAACCCCCAAAGCUGACAGCAAGCAAGGAAAAUUACACUCAAGAGCACAGUGUGCACAGGAAGGAGCCAGAAAUAUGGUGGCCUCUAGGGGCCACUCUCCUGGAUCAGGACCCCACUGCUCUAGAUGUUGAACAGACACAGAAAGAGAAAGACAGUCCCUGCCCCAAAGAGUUUACAGUCAAAGUGGAAGAUGAGAGACCACAAGUGAAUACGACAAACAGGGGAGCACAAGGAAACAGACACUGCUGGUCAGCAUGAUAAGCAGCCAUCCCAGCCCACCAGCUUCCUGAGCCCUGUAGGCAUUGUGACAGCUGGAGUUAGGAGGAGGUCAGGGGACAGUCUGUGUUAUGCUCUGUCUGAAUUGACCAAGUAGUGCCCUAAACAAUGGGCUCAAUCUUAUGCCAUUGAGGCCACGGGGUGUCAGCGCUGUGCAGCAGUGGGGGCAGGAUGGGACCUCUCCUGAGCUUAUUGGGUGGGACUGCAGUAGAGAGGAGAAUGGCUGCAUGUUUCAGUGUGAAGCUGCUCACUUCCUUAACAGUUAAAAGGAAAAUUACUGCAUGGGAAGAGUUCUUAGCACAGCAGUUUUAAGAACCAACCAGUUUCCUAUUUGAGGCCAAACUGUAAGUCAUACGGAGAAGGCAUCCACCUCCUGCGAUAGUUACCAGUCCCUUCCUGUAGCCUCAUCUUAGGUGAGAUCACCCCUCUGCAGUGAGCCUCUUGUGCAUGAUGGGCCAUAUCCUCACCUGGUGUAAAUUAGCGUGGCUCCACCGUCUUCAGCAGAGCUAUGUAGAUUUGCAGCAGCCGCACAAAGGAGCUGCAGUGUGCCAGUUCCGCAGAGUUGGGGGGUAGCAGCUGGCCUCUCUUCUUGCCAAAUCAUUCAUAAAAGGCCUAGCAAGAAUUCUGCAAGGGAGUUUUUUAUCCUGGUACUAUCCCUUUAAACAACACAGAAACAUGGUUAAAACAACAGUAGAGAAGUGUAAAAAGAAAUAUACACAGAAACCUCACGUUCUCUCCCCUUGAGGCUCCAGCCCAGACAAAUCUAAUCACUUCAAAAACUCAGGCAUAUGUCUUUGGCAAAGCUGAAACAAGGACAGGCCAGCAGAAUGACUGUGGAUUAAAGUCUAGAAACUGGAGGCCACUUUCAGCCUUACUUUUGAGAGACAGCUGGACAGAAUGAAGAGAUUCUCUAAUACACUAGUCCUGCUAUUCUAAUUGUGAAGCUGCUAUGACUUAUUGCACUCAAAAUGUACAUUAUUUAUGCAGUAUGUGAUAACUUGAUCUACCCUUAUAAUUUUUGCAGUGUCAAUUCAGUCUUGUAUAUUUCUCCAAAGCCUGUAGUUUUAAAACAUUUGUGUGUGCGUGUGUGUUUUGCUACCACAACUUACAAGUUGUAGUUAAUAUGGGAGCCUGUCAGAAAUACAGUACGAUGAGCAUGUGUAUUUAAAUAUUCUCUACUGGCAAAGCAAAAUACCAUUAUAGUAUGAUGUUUAAUAAGGUAUUGUUGAUAAGACAGAAAUAUCUGCAAUACAAAUCAACAUGUAUGUUA